UACGUAGGAUGCAAGCGUUGUCCGGAAUUAUUGGGCGUAAAGAGCGCGCAGGCGGUAACUCAAGUCAGAUGUGAAAUAUCCGGGCUUAACCCGGAGGGGUCAUUUGAAACUGAGUAACUAGAGUACAGCAGAGGAUAGCGGAAUUCCCGGUGUAGUGGUGAAAUGCGUAGAUAUCGGGAGGAACACCAGUGGCGAAGGCGGCUUCCUGGACCAGAACUGACGAUCAGGCACGAAAGCGUGGGGAGCAAACAGG
rnacentral:rRNA from 1 species